rnacentral:rRNA from 1 species
UCGAACGCGAAAGUCCUUCGGGAUGAGUAAAGUGGCGCACGGGUGAGUAAUACAUGGGAACAUGCCCUCGAAUGGGGAAUAACGUUUGGAAACGAACGCUAAUACCGCAUAGUCUCGCAAGAGUAAAGGUGGCGCCGCAAGGGCUACCGUUCGAGGAUUGGCCCAUGUCCCAUUAGCUAGUUGGCAGGGUAAUGGCCUACCAAGGCGACGAUGGGUAACUGGUCUGAGAGGAUGAUCAGUCACACUGGAACUGAGACACGGUCCAGACUCC